CGCGUGAGGAACCUGGCUCAAAGAGGGGGACAACAGUUGGAAACGACUGCUAAUACCGCAUAAGCCCACGGGUCGGCAUCGACCUGAGGGAAAAGGAGCAAUCCGCUUUGAGAUGGCCUCGCGUCCGAUUAGCUAGUUGGUGAGGUAACGGCCCACCAAGGCGACGAUCGGUAGCCGGACUGAGAGGUUGAACGGCCACAUUGGGACUGAGACACGGCCCAGACUCCUACGGGAGGCAGCAGUGGGGAAUAUUGCACAAUGGGGGAAACCCUGAUGCAGCGACGCCGCGUGGAGGAAGAAGGUCUUCGGAUUGUAAACUCCUGUUGUUGAGGAAGAUAAUGACGGUACUCAACAAGGAAGUGACGGCUAACUACGUGCCAGCAGCCGCGGUAAAACGUAGGUCACAAGCGUUGUCCGGAAUUACUGGGUGUAAAGGGAGCGCAGGCGGGAAGACAAGUUGGAAGUGAAAUCUAUGGGCUCAACCCAUAAACUGCUUUCAAAACUGUUUUUCUUGAGUAGUGCAGAGGUAGGCGGAAUUCCCGGUGUAGCGGUGGAAUGCGUAGAUAUCGGGAGGAACACCAGUGGCGAAGGCGGCCUACUGGGCACCAACUGACGCUGAGGCUCGAAAGUGUG
rnacentral:rRNA from 1 species